CUACUUCGGCAGCACAUAUACUAAAAUUGGAACGAUACAGAGAAGAUUAGCAUAGUCCCUGCGCAA
rnacentral:snRNA from 1 species